CUGUUACAAGGGGAACCAUUUCCUGGAUACAACAGACUUGCUGAGACAGGCUCUCCAGAGGUUUCUGGCUACACUAACAAGCUUAGUUCAGUAAGAGCACACUGAGAGGCUUAUCAGCAAAUUACUCACCGGAUCUAGGAAUGAGCAUUCCUAAGACUGUGGGAGACACUGGCCACAAAAUGCCUCCCAAACCCUGGCUGAAAUUAAGACAGAAAGGGAAGGGACUGUAAAAGAAAGCAGGUGCCCACCAUCCAGUUCUGCAGGAAUCGGGUCAUGAGCCACUGCAGCCACUGACCUGCAGCGCAGCCUGCAAGGACGUCAGGACGAAGCUCAGGAGGAGGCCCUCUCUGCUCUGGGAAAACUGGCAGAACCGGCCCUCAGAGGCUCAGAUGUUUUCAGGAGGAAUUUUUAUGAACCUGGAUUCUUGCAUCUUCCCAUACUUAGAGAAGCACUAAAACCAUUAACCAUUAACCAUUAUCUGUUGCUUCUGACCGGCAGAAAACUUCUAUCGAGGUAUGUGCCUGACUGCAGGUACCUCCUUUGCCAAAAUCACACAUGUACUGGCCUCCCCUCUUACUCUUCAGAGCAGUUCUCAGCGCUCCCUGAGGGACUGGCUCCUGGGCUAUAAUCCUCGGUGGAUGGAAUAAAAUUUUCCAUUUCUCUGUUAGAUCAACCGUUGGUUAAUUUUCCUCUCACACCACAGUAUACAUAGCUUCUUUCUCCCUCUUAAACUGGGCAUAUUACCUGUUUUUGUUUUGUUUUGUUUUUGGGCCAAGCCCUUGGCAGGCAGAGGCUCAGGGGCCAGGGAUCACACCUGCACCACAGCAGUGACCCACAGGAGUGACAAUGCCAGGUCCUUCACCUGCUGAGCCACCAGGGAACUCCUAUUGUACCUGUUUAAAAGGGAUGCAGUAAUUUUCUCUCCACUAGCAUUAAAAAGAAGCCGCAGCAGCCUGNGCAUAUGGAGCUAGUAGGUUUGUCUGAAGGGGAGGGAGAGUGUGUAGAGUGUUGUCGUCCCCCCACCCCAGGCGCUCUUCCCUCUCCUCCCCUUUCCCCGUUCCUUCCCUCCCCUCUACUUCCUCCCCUUUUCCGCUCCUAUCACUCUCCACUGCCCCGGCCACCCCUCCUCCUCUCCAUUCAGUCCAUUCAGGGUGACUCUGCCUCCACCACGAGGCUGCUGCCCUUCCCCGCCUCCCCCCCAACCCCCGGCCCUGUCCUCUCCGCUCCUGGAUCCCGCCGCCGCCGCACUGUGCUUUCCCCAACCUGGACCAGCUCCUCCUGAGCGACCCACCAGGGCGUUCAGAGCAGCUCACCGGCACCACUGGGCGCAAAUGCUCUUGGUUGUUCUGCCCGAACCCCCCACCCCCCACGUCCCCCUUGCUUUCCGGGAGCACUAAGGGUCAGUGCCUUGUCCAGAGUGACAUUUCGAGAGGAAGGGGGAGCCUCAGUUCAGUUCCUUGGUGUCCCUUCUCCAGUUUGAUACUCAUAGACCUGCGUCCCGUGCCUUCAGGCUCCUUGCCUGCUCUCGAGGGGCGGCCACAGAGCUUUGCUCUCUGGGUUUGCUCAGGAAUAAUCUAAGCACCUUCUCUGGGAUAGAAAGAUAAAGGCAGUCGCACGUGGGUUUUUUCCCCUUUUACCGUGAGGGCACGUGGAAGACAUCAGCAAGGAUUCACCAUGCAUUUAGCCAUCUUCCUUGGGGAUUUUUGUUCUGAAAUUUGGAACAAUGAAAGAAGAAAUCACACUUACCUCCUUCCACAACUAAUUCAAAAAGAAUUAGGCCACGGCUGUUUGAGAAAAAGAAUUAACACGAUUGUGGGCUGUAGAUGCAAAUGAUCUGGGACUUGACAGUUUGCAGCUUCAGGCCCACGUGAGCGACAUUCCCAGGCCAGGGAUCGAACCCACGCCACAGCAGUGACAAUGCCAGAUCCUUAACCUGCUGAGCCACCAGGGAACUCCAAGUGUAUCUUGCGAUAUUUCUGUAUUAAAAGGAAAUGUCCGAAUAUCAACCCUAAACUCGCACCGAAUCUACUAUUUAAACUUACUCAAGGCACUUGUUUCCAUGCUUUCUGGAUGUUAUUUUGAAUAUUUGUAUUUAAGUCUAUUUCAAUAAUUAGUACGUUAUUCCUCAUAGAGUUUCAUUCAAUCCUCCUUAUUAACCAAUUAAUAUCAUAGGUAAUCAAUAAUAAUGUACUGUGUUUUUGUCUCAUACAUGUUUCAAAAACCAUAGAUAAGCCCACCACAUAGAUUUCACAUACAAAGAGGUCAGGAGUGGCUCUGGUACAAGGACAAAUGCAUCUUCUGUCACCACCAUCAUAUCGAGACAUUCUUGCCCCUAAAACGCAAUACUUCGUGUGGGACCAUCUUUUUCCUUUGCACCACCGCCCCCGCGGCAGAGGGAAAUUCCCGGGCUAGGUGUCGAACCGGAGCUGCAGCUGCCGGCCUACACCAGACACAGCAACACCAGGUCUGAGCCCCAUCCUCAACCCACGCCAUAGCUUGUGGCAACACCAGAUCCUUAACCCACGGAGUGAGGCCAGGGAUUGAACCUGAAUCCUCAUGGAUACUAGGUGGGUUCUUAAGCCACUGAGCCACAAUGAGAACUCCUGGGAUAAUCUUUCUUAGAGGAUUUUAUGGUAGUCAGUGCAUUGUCAUCUUCUUUGCAUUUUAAGUAUUUAUUUGAAGAUAACAUUGGCCAAUAAAAUGUAAUCAGACAUAGUUAUAAAAUUGCCCUAACUACAAUUAUUCAUGCAGACUAUUUAGGAGUGGUAAAGGAUGGAGUUCCCUGGUGGCUCAGUGGGUUAAGGACCUGGUGUCACUACCGUGACUUAGGUCAUUCGAUCCCAGGCUCGGAAACUUCCUCAUGCCCUAGGCAUGGCCAAAAGAAAAAAAAAAAAAAA
rnacentral:lncRNA from 1 species